rnacentral:rRNA from 1 species
CCUACGAGUGGCUGCAGUGAGGAAUAUUGGUCAAUGGGCGCGAGCCUGAACCAGCCAAGUAGCGUGAAGGAUGACUGCCCUACGGGUUGUAAACUUCUUUUAUAAAGGAAUAAAGUGAGGCACGUGUGCCUUUUUGUAUGGACUUUAUGAAUAAGGAUCGGCUAACUCCGUGCCAGCAGCCGCGGUAAUACGGAGGAUCCGAGCGUUAUCCGGAUUUAUUGGGUUUAAAGGGAGCGUAGAUGGGUUGUUAAGUCAGUUGUGAAAGUUUGCGGCUCAACCGUAAAAUUGCAAUUGAUACUGGCAGUCUUGAGUACAGUUGAGGUAGGCGGAAUUCGUGGUGUAGCGGUGAAUUGCUUAGAUAUCACGAAGAACUUCGAUUGCGAAGGCAGCUUACUAAACUGCCACUGACAUUGAUGCUCGAAAGUGUGGUUAUCAAACAGGAUUAGAUACCCGAGUAGUC